rnacentral:rRNA from 1 species
GACGAACGCUGGCGGCGUGCUUAACACAUGCAAGUCGAACGGAAAGGCCCUGCUUUUGUGGGGUGCUCGAGUGGCGAACGGGUGAGUAACACGUGAGUAACCUGCCCUUGACUUUGGGAUAACUUCAGGAAACUGGGGCUAAUACCGGAUAGGAGCUCCUGCUGCAUGGUGGGGGUUGGAAAGUUUCGGCGGUUGGGGAUGGACUCGCGGCUUAUCAGCUUGUUGGUGGGGUAGUGGCUUACCAAGGCUUUGACGGGUAGCCGGCCUGAGAGGGUGACCGGCCACAUUGGGACUGGGGAACGGCCCAGACCCCUACGGGGGGCAGGGGGGGGGAAUAUUGCAAAAGGGGCGGAAGCCUGAUGCAGAAACGCCGGGGGGGGGAGGACGGCCUUCGGGUUGUAAACCGCUUUCCCCUGUGACGAAGGGUGGGUGACGGUAAUGGGUAAAGAAGCACCGGCUAACUACGU